rnacentral:tRNA from 1 species
GGAGAUGUGUGCCGAGCGGCGAAGGCAGCUGACUGUAAAUCAGUGACAUCAGAAACACCGUAGGUUCGAUUCCUACCGUCUCCACCA